rnacentral:rRNA from 1 species
UCAGGUGGCCGCAGAGAAUAGGCCCAAGCGACUGUUUACCAAAAACAUAGGUUUCUGCUAAGUCGCAAGACGAAGUAUAGGAGCUGACGCCUGCCCGGUGCUGGAAGGUUAAGGGGAUCUGUUAGAGUAAUCGAAGCAGUGAACUUAAGCCCCAGUAAACGGCGGCCGUAACUAUAACGGUCCUAAGGUAGCGAAAUUCCUUGUCGGGUAAGUUCCGACCCGCACGAAAGGCGUAACGAUUUGGGCACUGUCUCAACAACAGACUCGGUGAAAUUGUAAUUCCGGUGAAGAUGCCGGAUACCUGCGACAGGACGGAAAGACCCCAUGGAGCUUUACGGUAGCUUGCCAUUGGGUCUUGGUACUACAUGUACAGGAUAGGUGGGAGGCUUUGAAACCAGGACGCCAUUUUUGGCGGAGCCAUCCUUGGGAUACCACCCUUGUAGUACUGGGACUCUAACCAUAGGCCAUGAAUCUGGUCUUGGGACACUGUCAGGUGGGCAGUUUGACUGGGGCGGUCGCCUCCCAAAAGGUAACGGAGGCGCUCAAAGGUUCUCUCAGUACGGUCGGAAAUCGUACGUAGAGUGUAAAGGCAAAAGAGAGCUUGAUUGCAAGACAUACAGGUCGAGCAAGGAUGAAAAUCGGACUUAGUGAUCCGGUGGUUCUGCGUGGAAGGGCCAUCGCUCAACGGAUAAAAGCUACCCUGGGGAUAACAGGC